rnacentral:rRNA from 1 species
AAGGGCGACUGAAGCGGGAAUAGCUCACGAUGCGAAUCAGCGCGCGCCGAAUUGUGGUCUGGAGACUCUUGCAUUACUGGCCGGGCCAAGUCCCUUGGAACAGGGCAGCCGAGAGGGUGAGACUCCCGUCCGCCUGGCCUUUGGAGCGAGUGUCKACGAGUCGAGUUGUUUGGGAUUGCAGCUCUAAGUGGGUGGUAAAUUCCAUCUAAAGCUAAAUACUGGUGGGAGACCGAUAGCGUACAAGUACCGUGAGGGAAAGAUGCAAAGAACUUUGAAAAGAGAGUUAAAGAGUACCUGAAAUUGCUGAAAGGGAAGCGAAGGAAACCAGUGUUKGUUGCGUCAUAUUUCCCCGUUCGCUUGCGGUCGGGGCGCUGUGGCCAGCGUGGUCAUUUUUGGUUGAACGCGUCGGAUACAUGUCAGGGGAGUUGACCCUGAUUAUUUUGCGUUGCGUUUGUCUGAGAAUGGCGAAAUGGUUUUCUUUUCCCCGUCUAGAAACACGGACCAAGGAGUCUAACAUAUGUGCGAGUACAGGGGUGGCAAACCCCGGUGCGCAAUGAAAGUGACAGUGGCUGGAACGUUUUGUUGCACAGUCCGCCGGCCUCAAUCCCUCGGGAGAACGGUCUGAGUGUGAGCAUACAUGUUGGGACCCGAAAGAUGGUGAACUAUGCCUGAAUAGGGUGAAGCCAGGGGAAACUCUGGUGGAGGCUCGUAGCGAUUCUGACGUGCAAAUCGAUCGUCAAAUUUGGGUAUAGGGGCGAAAGACUAAUCGAACUAUCUAGUAGCUGGUUCCCUCCGAAAUUUCCCUCAGGAUAGCUGCGAUCGAAUAUAAUAUACCAAUUUUAUCAGGUAAA